GAAGGGCGAACAAACACUUUUCAUGGCCACCUGUCUUGGCGUCACGAUGCGCGCAGUGAUCUCCGCCCUGCUGCUUUGCGGCCUUGUAGCCGAGGUGACCUUCGCCGACCCCGUCCGCAGCACCGAGUAUGCCGGCCGCGUGGCGGCCGUCACCUGCUGUGAGCGUGUCGAAACCGCAUGGCCCAUCCUGCGGUCUUGGAGCCGCACCUGUGCCAAUGAAAGGGCACGCGGUUACGCCACGGUAAAGCGGUUUGCCACAAUGCUGGCCGCCUAUUCGCGUUCAUCUGCGCCCGCGCUUACCUUAUCGCAAGUUUGCCGCGGUAAGUACCUGAGCCGUGAGGCCGUGCAGGCGUUCUUUGAGCAUGCGUUCUGCGGUGCUCUGCCGAUAACACACACCGACCUCGUCCACAGCGCCUACAGCCCACUCAUGGAGGAUGCCCCGCACGAUGAGGAUGCGCUGGCGUCGGAUGUUGCCGUGGAGUGUCAACGCUUGCAACAGAGGUGGACGAUGCAAGCGGAGCAGUGGGAGGAACUGCUAGGCGGCAGACACGAUCUCGCGGAUGCCCAGUACGGCCUCUGUCCGCGUUCGUGCACAUGGGUGAAGGACAUGUUGGCAGGCGACGCUUACGACUUGUGAAGGAAAAACGUCUCGCAACGCUCCUCUUUUUUCUUGUUCAUCGUCCGCCCUCAUGACGUGCGGGGGUGGGGAGGGCCACUUCAGCGUGGCAUCUCAGGACACAGGGGGGGGGGGCGCUCGCUCUCUCUCUCUGUGUGCGGAGGAGCGAAGCAGCCCCCCACCGCCCACCCUCUUCGCUAUCCCUGCCAAUGCGAGGCCACUUCUGGUGGUGGCAAGCUCAAACGCGCCCUCAUGAUGUGUCGGAGGCGCCAGAGCGAUGCGUCGCUGCUGACGCCGGCGGCCAGGUCCCGGAGUGGGGCGGUGUCGGUGCGACCUGCGACCGUGAACACGUCUGUGCCGCCCACAUCGAUGGGCAAAGCGCCAGCGGGAGUCGAGCGAAUCCCACCCAACCCUCACACCGCCCACUGCGGGGGGGGGCCGGGGUGUCGCCCCGCGAGGGGUGCACCGCAGGGGUGGCGGCCGGCAUAACGGGCCGGCUGUGAGGCGGCCUGCACAGCGGCGGGUGCCGGGUGGAGAGAAGCUUGGCUCAUGUCGUGCGGCAGAGAGCGGACACGUACAGGACGAAAAACUUUGUCGGCUGCUCAUUAGCCCGAAGUGUGUGGACGUGAGGAGGAGACGCAGCAAGACG
rnacentral:misc_RNA from 1 species